AUAGUUUGAUGGAUGAAUCGAUCUACCAACAAUGCAGUUCAGGAUCUCUUGAUAGGCUCAACGAGAGCUCCUCGAAUAGCAAAACAAAUUGAACCAUUAGACGAGCAUGGGUUGUGCAUAAGAAGGCAAAUUUAGGAUUUCUUUGUAAAUGAAUGAAAAGAAAAAUGAGAGUGAGAAGACAAAACAAUUCAGAGGCACAGAAAAAGAGAAACAUAAGAAUCAAUUUAUAGUUGAGAAAACAAAAGGUUUCAGAUGACAACAGUAAACGGGUAUGAUUUUAGUGUAAUGCUACUCAGGCAUCCCGCAUGACACUCGGCUUGACCGCAUGAGGUGGAAAGCUUGUUGAAAAAAGAAACAAAACAAUAAAAAAGAAAGGGGCACUUAUUUCAAUCCGGUCACACCUUCGAUCGGAUCAUACCCAUAAUUGGAACAUUUUUCUUCAAUUUUUAGCAGGCAAACUGGGCAAGAUGAUUCUAGGGCAAAUUUGGCGCUAUCUUCAUUUCCGGUGGCUUGAAACCCGACUGCAUCUCCUUCUCUCCUGGGAUUGAAGCGGGGAUAUCGAUUUUUGGUGUUUUGAAGAUAAACCCAUUUGCAUCUCUAUCUUGUGUUCUUGUUACCAUAGUUUUGCAAAGGGAGCAGCGUCAACAAGAGCUUCAAAAGUGAGCACGAAAUUGCUUCCACCGAAUAAUCAAUAGCAAGGAUCGAAAGAAGUUUAUUUGCUAUUACAAGUGGCGGUUCUUUGUUGAGUAAAUAUGUAGAGAUAAACAUAUCAAUUCUAGGAAGGUUGAAUAAUUGUUUUGGGUUCCAAAGAUUUGGUUCAAAGGAUUCCAACCGCUCUUUCAAGGCUGAGAGGCCAGUCACUCUCUUCACGGGACAAAUUGUUGGCAGUCGAUAAAAAACCCAAGAUAGUGCAAACCCAUCUUGAAAACUCCCAUAUUCUGUGGCUUGAAGUGCUUUCAAGGGAGUCGAAUCAUAUCAAAUUUCAGGUUUCUUCAAGAAUCCGAUGUCAAAAAUAGGGGAAAAGCUUGCAUUACGUAUCUACUGCACCUAACAUCGUUCACCCCAGAAAUGACUAAAAGAGGGAAAGAAAUUUUGGAAUAUGAAGAUGACAUUAUAUCGGUGGAGUCCGAUGGUGAAAAUGUUGUGGAUAAUACGAGCAUACCGAGUGAUGAUAUGUUAGUUGGAGAUGGUGCGAUUGCGCCUGAGGUGUGACGCCCCGAACUUACGCUUCG